CUACGAGCUGCAGCAGUGAGGAAUAUUGCACAAUGGGGGGAACCCUAAUGCAGCAACGCCGCGUGGAGGAUGACGCAUUUCGGUGUGUAAACUCCUUUUAUAUGUCAAGAAAAUGACGGUAGCAUAUGAAUAAGCACCGGCUAACUCCGUGCCAGCAGCCGCGGUAAUACGGAGGGUGCAAGCGUUACUCGGAAUCACUGGGCGUAAAGGACGCGUAGGCGGGUUGGAAAGUCAGGUGUGAAAUCCUACAGCUUAACUGUAGAACUGCACUUGAAACUUCUAAUCUAGAGUAUGGGAGGGGGAGAUGGAAUUAGUGGUGUAGGGGUAAAAUCCGUAGAUAUCACUAGGAAUACCUAAAGCGAAGGCGAUCUCCUGGAACAUUACUGACGCUAAGGCGUGAAAGCGUGGGGAGCAAACAGGAUUAGAUACCCGCGUAGUC
rnacentral:rRNA from 1 species